GACGAACGCUGGCGGCGUGCUUAACACAUGCAAGUCGAACGAUGAAGCCGGAGCUUGCUCUGGUGAAUUAGUGGCGAACGGGUGAGUAACACGUGAGUAACCUGCCCUUGACUCUGGGAUAACUGCGGGAAACUGUAGCUAAUACCGGAUACGACCCUCGGAGGCAUCUCCUGGGGGUGGAAAGAAUUUCGGUCAAGGAUGGACUCGCGGCCUAUCAGCUAGUUGGUGAGGCAAAGGCUCACCAAGGCGACGCAGGGUAGCCUGCCUGGGAGGGUGACCGGCCACACUGGGACGGAGACACGGCCCAGUCUCCUACGGGAGGCAGCAGUGGGAAAUAUUGCACAAGGGGCGCCAGCCUGAUGCAGCAACGCUGCGUGAGGGAUGACGGCCUUCGGGUUGUAAACCUCUUUUAGUAGGGAAGAAGCGAAAGUGACGGUACCUGCAGAAAAAGCACCGGCUAACUACGUGCCAGCCGCCGCCGUAA
rnacentral:rRNA from 1 species